GACGGAAGGUGCAAGCGUUGCUCGGAAUCACUGGGCGUAAAGGGUGCGUAGGCGGCCGUGCAAGUCUGGCGUGAAAGCCCCGGGCUCAGCCCGGGAAGUGCGCUCGAAACUGCGCGGCUCGAGUGCCGGAGGGGAGAGUGGAAUUCCUGGUGUAGCGGUGAAAUGCGUGGAUAUCAGGAGGAAUACCGGUGGCGAAAGCGACUCUCUGGACGGCAACUGACGCUGAGGCACGGAAAGCGUGGGGAGCAAACAGG
rnacentral:rRNA from 1 species